rnacentral:tRNA from 1 species
GGGGUUGUAGCUCAGUGAUAGAGUGCGUGCCUCGCAUACAUGGGGCACUGGGUUCAAUCCUCAACACCA